rnacentral:rRNA from 1 species
UACGGAGGGAGCUAGCGUUGUUCGGAAUUACUGGGCGUAAAGCGCGCGUAGGCGGCUCAUCAAGUCAGAGGUGAAAGCCCGGGGCUCAACCCCGGAACUGCCUUUGAAACUGGCGAGCUAGAAUCUUGGAGAGGUCAGUGGAAUUCCGAGUGUAGAGGUGAAAUUCGUAGAUAUUCGGAAGAACACCAGUGGCGAAGGCGACUGACUGGACAAGUAUUGACGCUGAGGUGCGAAAGCGUGGGGAGCAAACAGG